AAAUUGAAGAGUUUGAUCAUGGCUCAGAUUGAACGCUGGCGGCAGGCCUAACACAUGCAAGUCGAGCGGUAGCACAGAGAGCUUGCUCUCGGGUGACGAGCGGCGGACGGGUGAGUA
rnacentral:rRNA from 1 species